rnacentral:misc_RNA from 1 species
CCCUGCCCCCGAUUGAAGCGCAAAACCCGCAGUUGCGACAGCCUACAAAGCCGUGCAAGAAAAGAGCGACCGCAGGAAGCUCCUUUUAUGGCCGGAUCUGGGCUGUAGAAACGAGGAUUUGUAGCGGAAAGCGGGAUUUGGC